AUGUUUUGGAGACAUGUGACUUGGCCGAUUUGGGGUUCACUGGUGUUCCCCACACAUACGACAAUACGCGGAGUGGUAACUCAGAACAUGAGAGUUCGGCUCGACAGAGCGGUGGCAAGCCCAGCUUGGAGGAAUUCUUUUGUCAAUGCUACUGUUCGCCACUUAAUUUCUCCUUGUUCGGACCAUGUGCCCAUCCAUGUUUCUUGUGAUUCGGAGGUAGAUAUGCCAAUUAAACCUAAACUUAUACAGUAUGAGAUUAUGUGGGAGCGAGAGCCAGCUCUACAGGCGGUUAUUGCGAAUGCUUGGCAAGAAGCGGGUGAGAAGAAUUCUCUUGGAGAUGUGCAUGCAGCCCUUAGGGGCACCAUGAGAAAACUAUGCGGCUGGAGUAAGGAAAACUUUGGCAAUGUGGCCAAAGAAAUAGAGAAAUCCCGUACACAAUUGGAGGAACUUAUGUUAAUGAAUGCGGGCAGAUGUGAGAUCCAUAGAGUAACAGAUAGGACGAAUGAGCUGCUCUAUCGGGAGGAGCUAAUGUGGAUGCAGAGUUCCCGUGUCACUUGGCUCAAAGACGGGGACCGAAACACAAAAAUUUUCCAGUCCAAAUCUGUGUGGCGAGCACGAAAGAAUAAAAUAAGGAAAUUGGAGGACACUAGUGGCAACGUGUUUACAAAAAAUGAUGAGAUGGGGCAGGCGGCUACAGGGUACUUCAAACAUAUUUUCUCUGUUGAUCCAUCGUUGGACGCAACCCCCAUUAUUCAUCUAGUUGAUCCUAUUAUAAACAAUGAAACAAAUGAGAUGUUAUGUGCUGAGUUCACUGAGAAGGAGAUAUCUGAUGCGUUGUUUCAAAUUUGUCCUCUGAGGCACCGGGCCCCAAUGGGUUUCCCGCUCGUUUCUUUCAGCGUAACUGGGGGACCGUGA
rnacentral:rRNA from 1 species